ensembl:lncRNA novel transcript
CGCGCGAGGCGGUUGCGCUAGGUGAGCGGGUACCGCGGCCGCGCCUCCCUUGUCAUUUACUCAGCGGUCAGAGGCAUCCUGCGUCUGGGAGUCCCAAGUGCCUUCGGCUGGGUGCCCCUGUCCGAUCCUCAAAAGGAAAGCACAAAUCCCGGGUGCGAGUCUAACCCAGGACCGAACUUUCCCGCGAACCUGAAGUUACCAUGGGGCGGGAGCCACCUUAGCGCCGCGUCCGCCCGCCCCUCGCACCGGCUAGGAUGCUGCGGAAGGCAGGGGCGCCGAGAGGCAAGGGUGAAAGACGCCGUCCAUACCCCCAAAGCCCGAACCUGCAUCUCCUCUGCGAGGCGCAGGGCGGGAGGACCGCUGCAGUUGGGAGCCGGCUCCGGACAGGCAAAGCGACCCGACAGGUAACCUUCCACAGGCCCACACAUGUGUUAUCAGCCAUACCUUAGGACAGAAGGAAUGAGUUUGCAGAAAGGAUGCUCUUCAGAACUCAUGAAGACAUAAGGUGCUUCAAAAGAGGAGACUUUCGGAACAUGAGCAGGGAAAUUGUCACUUGAUAGAUGACAAGCAUUGUGAGAAACAACAGUUUGCCUUUCUUCAUUCCCUUCCUGGUUAUCUUUCCUGUCACAUGAAGAAGAAAUGAAACACCAGAGAGAAUCAGGUUAUCAUCAUCUACACCAGCCACUGUCACUGGAGCUACUCCACCAUGUACCAUCAACAGCAACUUGGAAAAAAAAUGCCCGCACCAACAGGAAAAUGGAGCUGCAGGAGCUGAAUGAUGGUUUCAUACACAUCGACAAGGUGCACUUCUUGGUCCAAAAGAACAAGAUACUGCUGAUAAAGUGAAGCAGCUCCAGAAACAGGGAAAGUCAACCUGGGGAACUUCUACAAGGAGGAGAUGCAACAGCUGCAUCAGCAAGUGGACCAGGUAACCAACAAGGCCAGUAUCAAGGCUCAGCAUGACAUCCUAGCCAAGGACAUCAGGACAAUUUGCAGAAAGAGAUGCUUCAGAGAGAGGAAGCUGAGAGCACCCUUAGAAAUCCUGCAAACUUGCAGACUGCAUGUUGACAAUGCUUCUUUGACACUCCAUGACUUCUGGCAAUCUCUUCCUUGCAAGAAGAGAUUGCCUUUUUGAAGGAACUGCGCAGGAAUGAAACCUGGGAGCUGCAGGUCCAGAUUCAGGAAGAGCCAUACAAAUUGAUGAUAUUUCCAAGACUGACCUCAUGGCUGCACUGCGUGAUGUGUGUUAGCAGUAUGAAAGUGUAGUUACUAAGAACCUUCGGGAACCAGGCCAGGUUUGUUGAUCUCUCUGAGGCUAUUAACUGAACCUGGACAGUGAUGCCCUGCAUUAGGCAAAGCAGGAGUCAAAAGAGGAGGCAAAGACAGGUCCAGUCCCUCACUGGCCAAGCACUCAAAGGAACUGAGAAUUCUCUGCAGUGCCAGAUGUGUGAAAUAGAUGAGAACUUUGCUGUGAACUAUCAAGACACUAUUGGCCUCAUGCAGGAUGAGAUUCAGAAUGGGAAGGAAGAAAUAAUUAAGGCCUGCCACCUUAAUCAAUGUCAGGACCUGUGGGAUGCUCACAGAGCCCUUGACUUUGAGAUUGCCACCUACAGAAUGCUGCUGGAAGGUGAGGAGAGCAGGAUUUCUCUGUCUCUUCCAAACUUUUACUCUCAGAACUGGAGGGAAACCAUUCUGUGUUCACUCCCUCUGGUUGACAGCCACUCAUACAGGACCCUUCUGACAUUUAAAACUGGGAGAUGGACAGGUUAUCAAUGAACCUUCUCAGCCUCAUGAUUAGCUUGAUGAAAAAUUGCACAUACUCGCUGCAGCAAUAUAUCACCAUCAAGAAUAAAAAGGAAGACUACAUCUUAAAGAAACAGCCUUCAAAUGCCCCUCUACAGCUUUUCAGUAGCAUAAGAUAAAUUUGGAAUAGAAAUAAGCUACAGUUCUUAAGAACUAACACUCCUAAAAGAUUUAGAACAAAAGUUUAAAACAUAGUCUGGUUUAUGAAGAAGUUUUGUGCUACACCGGUUUUGUAAAAAUAUUUUGAAAAUCGUUAUAACUGUUUUUUUGUUCCAGCAAGUAUUGGACUAACUUGUUUCUACUUCAAUAAACCUUUGGAAAAACCAACCAGCAAACAACAACGAUUUUAAAAAUGCUUCUUGGGAUGAGUUGAAGAGAGAAUGGAAGAAACACUGAAAGGAAAUGUGAUACCAUGGAAAGUACACUGAACUGGGAAAUAGAAAGUAUGAGUUUUCAAUCCACCACCGAGCCCCUAUGUUACCUUAGGCCCAAACUGGAAACAAUCCAGAUGUCCCUCAACACAUGAAUGGAUAAGCAGAUUUUGGCAUUUCUAUGCAAUGGAAAGCUACUUAUUAAUUAAAAGGAAUGAACUAUUGAUACAUGCACCAGCAUGGACGGAGUCUUGCCCUAUCGCUAGGCUGGAGUGCAGGGGUGAGAUCUCAGCUCACUGCAACCCCUGCCUCCCAGGUUCAAGCGAUUCUCCUGCCUCAGCCUCCCUAGUAGCUGGGACUACAGGUACACACCACCAUGCCCAG